rnacentral:rRNA from 1 species
CCUACGGGAGGCAGCAGUGAGGAAUAUUGGUCAAUGGACGAGAGUCUGAACCAGCCAAGUAGCGUGAAGGAUGACUGCCCUAUGGGUUGUAAACUUCUUUUAUAUGGGAAUAAAAUGUGCUACGUGUGGGUUUUUGUAUGUACCUUAUGAAUAAGGAUCGGCUAACUCCGUGCCAGCAGCCGCGGUAAUACGGAGGAUCCGAGCGUUAUCCGGAUUUAUUGGGUUUAAAGGGAGCGUAGGUGGAUUGUUAAGUCAGUUGUGAAAGUUUGCGGCUCAACCGUAAAAUUGCAGUUGAUACUGGCAGUCUUGAGUACAGUAGAGGUGGGCGGAAUUCGUGGUGUAGCGGUGAAAUGCUUAGAUAUCACGAAGAACUCCGAUUGCGAAGGCAGCUCACUGGACUGCAACUGACACUGAGGCUCGAAAGUGUGGGUAUCAAACAGGAUUAGAUACCCUUGUAGUC